rnacentral:antisense_RNA from 1 species
CUUGAGGGACCCCAGCCACAGCGGCCGGUCCCGGUCCCGCCCGUAGGCGGCGAGCAGGGCGCCUGCCUC